AUCCUCAUCCAGUAUGAUCGAAC
rnacentral:piRNA from 1 species